GAUUACAUCCCUCCGUCCGGAAUUACUUGUCACCAAAAUAAAAAGAAAUGGAUGUAUAUACGUCUAGAUACAUCCAUUUGUAUGACAAAUAAUUCCGGACGGAGGGAGGACAUG
rfam:Hordeum vulgare subsp. vulgare, WGS project CAJW01000000 data, contig: morex_contig_2548578